AACGCACGAGACCUGCGGACCUGCGGAGGGAUCAUUACAGAGUGUUUACCCCCCCGUAAAAAGGGGGGCUAACCUCCCGUCCUUUGUUGGACCCCCCUUUUGGAGGGUUUUUUCAAAACUUUUGCUUCGGUGGGGUUACCCGCCGGAACACCCUCAAAAAAUUCUUGGUCAAAAUUGUUCAGUCCGAGAAGCUUUUUUUAAAAAUUUAGCAAAAAACUUUUAACAACGGAUCUCUAGAUC
rnacentral:misc_RNA from 1 species